GUGCUCACUUUAGUAGCACCUAUACUAAAAUUGGAAAGAUAUAGAAAAGAUUAACACAGCCCCUGCACAAGAAUGACAUGCAAAUUCAGGAAGCAUUUUGUAUUUUU
ensembl:snRNA U6 U6 spliceosomal RNA